GACGAACGCUGGCGGCGUGCUUCAUACAUGCGAGUCGAACGAGAAGCUGACUUCGGUCAGUGGAAAGUGGCGGACGGGUGAGUAAUAUGUAGGAAAUCUGCCUUUAGGAGGGGGACAACAGAGGGAAACUUCUGCUAAUACCCCAUAUGAGCGUAGCUGAAAUGCUAUUCUUGAAAACUCCGGUGCCUAAAGAUGAGCCUGCAUCUGAUUAGCUAGUUGGUAGUGUAAUGGACUACCAAGGCGACGAUCAGUAGCUGGUUUGAGAGGAUGAUCAGCCACAAUGGGACUGAGACACGGCCCAUACUCCUACGGGAGGCAGCAGUAGGGAAUUUUGCGCAGUGGGCGAAAGCCUGACGCAGCAACGCCGCGUGAACGAUUAAGCCCUUCGGGGUGUAAAGUUCUGUCAGUGGGGACGAAACUUGACGGUACCCACAGAGGAAGCACCGGCUAACUCCGUG
rnacentral:rRNA from 1 species